rnacentral:rRNA from 1 species
UACGGAGGGUGCAAGCAUUAAUCGGAUUUAUUGGGCGUAAAGGGCGCGUAGGCGGGCUAGUCAGUCGAAUGUGAAAUACCAAAGCUCAACUUUGGGGCUGCAUUUGAAACUACUGGUCUGGAGGAUUGGCGGAGAAAAUGGAAUUCCACGUGUAGCGGUGAAAUGCGUAGAUAUGUGGAAGAACACCUGUGGCGAAAGCGAUUUUCUAGCUUAUACCUGACGCUGAGGCGCGAGAGCAAGGGGAG